rnacentral:rRNA from 1 species
AUUGAACGCUGGCGGCAGGCCUAACACAUGCAAGUCGAACGAGUGGCGGACGGGUGAGUAAUGUCUGGGAAACUGCCCGAUGGAGGGGGAUAACUACUGGAAACGGUCGCUAAUACCGCAUACCAUCGGAUGUGCCCAGAUGGGAUUAGCUAGUAGGUGGGGUAACGGCUCACAUAGGCGACGAUCUCUAGCUGGUCUGAGAGGAUGAACAGCCAAACUGGGACUGAGACACGGUCCAGACGCCUACGGGAGGCAGAAGUGGGGAAAAUUGCACAAUGGGCGAAAGCCUGAUGCAGCCAUGGCGCGUGUAUGAAGAAGGCCUUAGGGUUGUAAAGUACUUUCAGCGAGGAGGCGUGACUCGCAGAAGAAGCACCGGCUAACUCCGUGCCAGCGGCCGCGGUAAUAC